CGUACACUCCUACGGGAGGCAGCAGUGGGGAAUAUUGGACAAUGGGCGCAAGCCUGAUCCAGCCAUGCCGCGUGAGUGAUGAAGGCCCUAGGGUUGUAAAGCUCUUUCACCGGUGAAGAUAAUGACGGUAACCGGAGAAGAAGCCCCGGCUAACUUCGUGCCAGCAGCCGCGGUAAUACGAAGGGGGCUAGCGUUGUUCGGAUUUACUGGGCGUAAAGCGCACGUAGGCGGACUAUUAAGUCAGGGGUGAAAUCCCGGGGCUCAACCCCGGAACUGCCUUUGAUACUGGUAGUCUUGAGUUCGAGAGAGGUGAGUGGAAUUCCGGGUGUAGAGGUGAAAUUCGUAGAUAUUCGGAGGAACACCAGUGGCGAAGGCGGCUCACUGGCUCGAUACUGACGCUGAGGUGCGAAAGCGUGGGGAACAAACAGGAUUAGAUACCCUAGUAGUCCCAU
rnacentral:rRNA from 1 species